CGCGUAGGCUGUGCUGUAAGUCAGGCGUGAAAUCCCCGGGCUCAACCUGGGAAUUGCGCAUGAUACUGCGGCGCUUGAAGACGGGAGAGGAUGGCGGAAUUCCCAGUGUAGAGGUGAAAUUCGUAGAUAUUGGGAAGAACACCGGUGGCGAAGGCGGCCAUCUGGCCCGUAAUUGACGCUGAGGCGCGAAAGCGUGGGAGCAAACA
rnacentral:rRNA from 1 species